AGCCGUGGUUUGCAGCCUGCGUGUACGACCUUUGUGCUUGCGGGGCCAAUACGGAAGAGUGUCUGUGUGAUACACUGGAGGCCUACGUUAGUCAGUGCAGAGAAGCCGGAGUCAUCCUGCAGUGGAGGAGUCCAUCACUGUGUGCUGUGGGCUGUCCGGUGGAGAGAGGCUUUGUGUUUGACGAGUGCGGUCCACCAUGUCCCGUCACCUGCUUUAAUGUCGAUGUGCCACUGGGGGUGAUAGAGAGCCACUGUUUUAAACCGUGUGUUCCCGGUUGCCAGUGUCCUGCUGGUUUAGUUCUACACAACAACUACUGCAUUCAUCCAGAAAAGUGUCCCAAGAUCAUACACGACAAUGCCUCAUAAUCCAGGAACAUUUUGAGCACUUCAGCGGAUACGUAUACUGCCAAAUAAGCUGCAAUCUACCCAAGGACUACAGGAACAUUCUGGCUUGUCCUGUAGAUGCUACAUACUGUACUUAAUAAAGUGGAAUCCUUGUCUUUUUUUUGUGGACACACAGUGAUGGAUUAUAGUGGUCAUGGGCCCCUUGGCUU